CUACGGGAGGCAGCAGGAAGGGAUAUUGCGCAAUGGACGAAAGUCUGACGCAGCGACGCCGCGUGAGGGAUGAAGGCCUUCGGGUCGUAAACCUCUUUUAUUGGUGAAGAGUAAGGACGGUAACCAGUGAAUAAGCCUCGGCUAACUACGUGCCAGCAGCCGCGGUAAUACGGAGGGUGCGAGCGUUAAUCGGAAUUACUGGGCGUAAAGGGCGCGUAGGCGGUGCGUGGAGUCAGCUGUGAAAGCCCUGGGCUUAACCUGGGAAUGGCAGUUGAGACUGGCGUGCUGGAGUGCGACAGAGGAUGGUGGAAUUCCCGGUGUAGCGGUGAAAUGCGUAGAGAUCGGGAGGAACACCGAUGGCGAAGGCAGCCGUCUGGGUCGACACUGACGCUGAGGCGCGACGGCGUGGGGAGCAAACAGGAUUAGAUACCCUGGUAGUCCACGCGGUAAACGAUGAGAACUAGACGUCAGGCGGGUUUAACUGUUUGGUGUCGGAGCUAACGCGUUAAGUUCUCCGCCUGGGGAGUACGGCCGCAAGGUUGAAACUCAAAUGAAUUGACGG
rnacentral:rRNA from 1 species